UGCAUCGGCCGGGAAUCGAACCUGGGCCGCCCGCGUGGCAGGCGAGCAUUUUACCACUGAACCAUCGAUGC
rnacentral:tRNA from 1 species